GUGAACACCAGACGGGCUGCGGCGUUCUGGAUGAGUUGUAGGGGUUUAAUGGCACAGGCAGGGAGCCCAGCCAACAGCGAGUUGCAGUAAUCCAGACGGGAGAUGACAAGUGCCUGGAUUAGGACCUGCGCCGUUUCCUGUGUGAGGCAGGGUCGUACUCUGCGGAUGUUGUAGAGCAUGAACCUACAGGAACGGGCCACCGCCUUGAUGUUAGUUGAGAACGCCAAGGUUCUUAGCGCUCUGGGAGGAGGACACAUAGACUGCAUCCAAUUUGCUGAGUAGAGUGUUGGAGGCUAUUUUGUAAAUGACAUCGCCAAAGUCAAGGAUUGGUAGGAUAGUCAGUUUUAUGAGGGUAUGUUUGGCAGCAUGAGUGAAGGAUGCUUUGAUGUUGAAUAGGAAGCCGAUUCUAGAUUUUUUUGGAUUGGAGAUGCUUAAUGUGAGUCUGGAAGGAGAGUUUACAGUCUAGCCAGACACCUAGGUACUUGUAGUUGUCCACAUAUUCUAAGUCAGAACCGUCCAGAGUAGUGAUGCUGGACGGGCGGGCAGGAGCGGGCAGCGAUCGGUCGAAGAGCAUGGAUUUAGUUUUAAUUGCAUUUAAGAGCCGUUGGAGGCCACGGAAGGAGAGUUGUAUGGCAUUGAAGCUCGUCUGGAGAUUAGUUAACACAGUGUCCAAAGAAGGGCCAGAUGUAUACAGGAUGGUGUUGUCUGCGUAGAGGUGGAUCAGAGAAUCACCAACAGCAAGAGCGACCUCAUUGAUGUAUACAGAGAAGAGAGUCGGUCCAAGAAUUGAACCCUGUGGCACCCCCAUAGAGACUGCCAGAGGUCCGGACAACAGGCCCUCCGAUUUGACACACUGAACUCUGUCUGAUAAGUAGUUGGUGAACCAGGCGAGGCAGUCAUUUGAGAAACCAAGGCUGUUGAGUCUGCCGAUAAGAAUGUGGUGAUUGACAGAGUCGAAAGCAUUGGCCAGGUCGAUGAAGACGGCUGCACAGUAUUGUCUCUUAUCGAUGGCGGUUAUGAUAUCGUUUAGCGUGGCUGAGGUGCACCCAUGACCAGCUCUGAAACCAGAUUGCAUAGCGGAGAAGGUACGCUGGGAUUCGAAAUGGUCGGUGUCUGUUUGUGAACUUGGCUUUCGAAGACCUUAGAAAGGCAGGGUAGGAUAGAUAUAGGGGGAGGGGUACAGGGCUGUUGUAGUUUGGGUCUGGAGUGUCAUGACAGCGGCAGCUUGAAGAGGGGGAUGACCGCAGCUGCUUUCCAAUCUUUGGGGAUCUCAGACGAUACGAAAGAGAGGUUGAACAGGCUAUUAUUAGGGGUUGCAACAAUUUCGCUGGAUAAUUUUAGAAAGAGAGGGUCCAGAUUGUCUAGCCCAGCUGAUUUGUAGGGGUCCAGAUUUUGCUGCUCUUUCAGAACAUCAGCUAUCUGAAUUUGGGUGAAGGAAAAUGGGGGAGGCUUGGGCAAGUUGCUGUGGGGGGCGCAGGGCUGUUGACCGGGGUAGGGGUAGCCAGGUGGAAAGCAUGGCCAGCCAUAGAAAAAUGCUUGUUGAAAUUCUCAGUUAUCGGUGUUGACAGUGUUUCCUAGCCUCAGUGCAGUGGGUAGCUGGGAGGAGGUGCUCUUAUUCUCCAUGGACUUUACAGUGUCCCGGAACCUUUUUGAGUUUGUGCUGCAGGAUGCACAUUUCUGUUUGAAAAAGCUAGCCUUAGCUUUCCUAACUGCCUGUGUGUAUUGGUUUCUAACUUCCCUAAAGAGUUAGCCUGCCUUGGAGCAGGUUAGUUCUGGAUACAGGAUAAACAGAGUUAGCCCUGAGUUAGCCUGCCCUGGAGCAGGUUAGUUCUGGAUACAGGAUAAACAGAGUUAGCCCUGAGUUAGCCUGCCCUGGACCAGGUUAGUUCUGAAUGCAGGAUAAACAGAGUUAGCCCUGAGUUAGCCUGCCCUGGAGCAGGUUAGUUCUGGAUACAGGAUAAACAGAGUUAGCCCUGAGUUAGCCUGCCCUGGACCAGGUUAGUUCUGAAUGCAGGAUAAACAGAGUUAGCCCUGAGUUAGCCUGCCCUGGAGCAGGUUAGUUCUGGAUACAGGAUCAACAGAGUUAGCUAGUCUGCCCUGGACCAGGUUAGUUCGGGAUACAGGAUAAACAGAGUUAGCCCUGAGUUAGCCUGCCCUGGACCAGGUUAGUUCUGAAGGAUCCGUUGCCAUAGAAAUGUACCUGGCUAAAAGGCGAGCCACUAUCGUAUGACCGCUUAUCCCGAGUUGAACUCAGAGUUGACCAAAGGUACCUUGCUAACUCCUCAAACCCACUACGUAGUAUAUAUCCCUCAAGGUCCCAGAUCUAUGUAGUAUAUAUCCCUCAGGGUCCAGAUCUACGUAGUAUAUAUCCCUCAAGGUCCCAGAUCUAUGUAGUAUAUAUCCCUUAAGGUUCCAGAUCUAUGUAGUAUAUAUCCCUCAAGGUCCCAGAUCUACGUAGUAUAUAUCCAUCAAGGUCCCAGAUCUACGUAGUAUAUAUCCCUCAAGGUCCCAGAUCUAUGUAGUAUAUAUCCUUCAAGGUCCCAGAUCUACGUAGUAUAUAUCCAUCAAAGUCCCAGAUCUACAUAGUAUAUAUCCCUCAAGGUCCCAAAUCUACGUAGUAUAUAUCCCCCAGGGUCCCAGAUCUACGUAGUAUAUAUCCCUCAAGGUCCCAAAUCUACGUAGUAUAUAUCCCUCAAGGUCCCAGAUCUACGUAGUAUAUAUCCCUCAAGGUCCCAGAUCUAUGUAGUAUAUAUCCCUCAAGGUCCCAAAUCUACGUAGUAUAUAUCCCCCAGGGUCCCAGAUCUAUGUAGUAUAUAUCCCUCAGGGUCCAGAUCUACGUAGUAUAUAUCCCUCAAGGUCCCAGAUCAAUGUAGUAUAUAUCCCUCAAGGUCCCAGAUCUAUGUAGUAUAUAUCCCUCAGGGUCCAGAUCUACGUAGUAUAUAUCCCUCAAGGUCCCAGAUCUAUGUAGUAUAUAUCCCUUAAGGUUCCAGAUCUAUGUAGUAUAUAUCCCUCAAGGUCCCAGAUCUAUGUAGUAUAUAUCCAUCAAGGUCCCAGAUCUACGUAGUAUAUAUCCCUCAAGGUCCCAGAUCUACGUAGUAUAUAGUCCUCAAGGUCCCAGAUCUACGAAGUAUAUAUCCCUCAAGGUCCCAGAUCUAUGUAGUAUAUAUCCCUCAAGGUCCCAGAUCUACGUAGUAUAUAGUCCUCAAGGUCCCAGAUCUACGUAGUAUAUAUCCCUCAAGGUCCAAGAUCUAUGUAGUAUAUAUCCCUCAAGGUCCCAGAUCUAUGUAGUAUAUAUCCCUCAAGGUCCCAGAUCUACGUAGUAUAUAUCCAUCAAGGUCCCAGAUCUACGUAAUAUAUAUAUCCCUCAAGGUCCCAGAUCUAUGUAGUAUAUAUCCUUCAAGGUCCCAGAUCUACAUAGUAUAUAUCCAUCAAAGUCCCAGAUCUACGUAGUAUAUAUCCCUCAAGGUCCCAAAUCUACGUAGUAUAUAUCCCCCAGGGUCCCAGAUCUAUGUAGUAUAUAUCCCUCAGGGUCCAGAUCUACGUAGUAUAUAUCCCUCAAGGUCCCAGAUCAAUGUAGUAUAUAUCCCUCAAGGUCCCAGAUCUAAGUAGUAUAUAUCCCUCAAGGUCCCAGAUCUACGUAGUAUAUAACCCUCAAGGUCCCAGAUCUACGUAGUAUAUAUCCCUCAAGGUCCCAGAUCUACGUAGUAUAUAUCCCUCAAGGUCCCAGAUCUACGUAGUAUAUAUCCCUCAAGAUCCCAGAUCUACGUAGUAUAUAUCCCUCAAGGACCCAGGUCUAGAUGUCUUGCAAUCUCUUACUAUUCAUUGUCAUGCCAAACUGGAUUUGGCUAUGCGGCACAAACAGAUCUGGGAUCAGGCUAACUGCACACAUCGUGU